UGAAGAGUUGAAGUUUUAUUUCUUUAG
rnacentral:piRNA from 1 species